CUCAGUUUGUUCUUCGUCCAAUUCGUAGCUAGUUUUCUCGCAGGGGUUGUUCUUUUUGAGUCCGUGCAAUUCCGAGACAUGUUUCGGCUUGUGUGAGCUCGGUUGCUUUUUACCCUAGAAACCCUACUCCUUUCUUCGGGCUUGGAACCCUCAGUGUCACCCGCUUGAAAAAGACAUGGAAAAUUUUAUGGAGUGGAAAAUCAUGGGGUACAGAAAAAAUUGAAAAACGAUCUUGUACCACUUAAAUUUGCGUGCCCAAAAGACAGAAAACGAAGUAGUGACGCUCCUGUACGAGCCGUAGUUUUGAAACGUAAUAGACUUAACCUUAUAAAUGACACUUUAGAUGCAUACAGACCUAGUACAUCUAAAAUGCAUGACGUAAAAUCUGAAGAGAAGACAUUUCACGAACAGGAACAAGUAAAAGAUGUUACAAGAACCGAAAACUUUGCUUGUAGGGGAACAUCAGUAGCCAUACAAGUAAAUUUAAGACCGAAGUAUAGAAGCAAGUCAUCUCAAUGUAACAUUCGCCCAGCUACAGUUUGUCAGAGGUGUUCGCCUGUUAAGUGCUCAACUACUAGUAUUGCCACCAAACAGCUAUACUCCUCAUCAGAGUCAAGUUUAACAAGUGAAAUAUCAGAGAACGUAUCAGUUUUAUCAGGUAGUUUGUCUGAGAGUUCACUCAUUUCAAAUUUAGAACGCAGCUCAAAAUUUAAUAACAAUGAUACCAAUGAGGAACACAGACAGUGUUCAAUUUGCAUUGAAGCACACUUUUAUCAAAAUUGAAAAUAAUCCAAGUUAUACCUAGGUAUAAAUAAAGACGCUUUAUUUAUAAUUAAGCUACUUAGAGAUACAAAAAAAUUGGAUUUUGUAAAUAUUUAGCUAGUUCUUGUGGAACUAAAUGAUGAAUUUGGAUUUUCGGCAAGUACAGCGAGUAAAAUUUUUGCAAAAUACCUUCCAUUAAUUAGCAAGAUGUUAAAGACUUUAAUAGUCUGAAUACCAUCUAAUAAAGUUAAAAAACGUC